rnacentral:rRNA from 1 species
GAUGAACGCUGGCGGCGUGCCUAAUACAUGCAAGUCGAGCGAACAGAUGAGGAGCUUGCUCCUCUGACGUUAGCGGCGGACGGGUGAGUAACACGUGGAUAACCUACCUAUAAGACUGGGAUAACUUCGGGAAACCGGAGCUAAUACCGGAUAAUAUAUUGAACCGCAUGGUUCAAUAGUGAAAGACGGUUUUGCUGUCACUUAUAGAUGGAUCCGCGCCGCAUUAGCUAGUUGGUAAGGUAACGGCUUACCAAGGCAACGAUGCGUAGCCGACCUGAGAGGGUGACCGGCACAACUGGAACUAGACCACGGUCCAGCCUCCAACGGGAGGCACCGGUGGGGAAUCUUGCGCAAUGAGCAAAAGCCUAACGGGGCAACGCGGGGUGGUGAAUAAAGUUCUUCGGAUCGUAAAACUCUGUUAUUGAGGAAAACCAAAUGUGUAAGUAACUAUGCACGUCUUGACGGUACCUAAUCAGAAAGCCACGGCUAACUACGUG